UCUGGAUAAGCGUGGGGGGAGGUGUGGGGUGGGAGCCCCUGACAACUGAAGCUCCUGCCUUCCCGUAAGGGGAUGUGGUCGGCACAGCCCUGCCGUUCCUCCACAGCGGCUCACUUCUGCCCACGUCACUGCCAUUACAAACAUGACGACAGAGGGAAGACUGGAAACACCGAGUAUCACAAUGUGGAUGGAAAGCCAGAGUGCAGAUGAACUCAGUGAUUGCCUCCCUGAUCUCAGCUCUUGAGAAUUAAUGCUUAAUCUUCACAUCGCUAAGAGAUCUGCCCUUACCACUCCUUCUAAAGGGGACCUCAGAAUGACCAUCACCCCGGAUAUUCCAUCCCACACCGAUCCAGUUGCAUGUAGAAAGUUGCUGUCCUGAUCUGUUGCCCAUCUUUCCCGCCAGAACGUAAACUCUCUGAAGGCAGGUCAUGUUCAUUGCUUUAAUCCCAACACCUAAGAAAAUAAAAGCUCCACAAAGGCAGAGAUUUUCUUUCCU
rnacentral:lncRNA from 1 species